CCAUCGGCCCUUUUCAGGGCCAUCAAUCAAAUUAGUGGAAAAGAGU
rfam:Aedes aegypti strain Liverpool supercont1.13 genomic scaffold, whole genome shotgun sequence.